UGUUUUUGGAGAUCUUUAUAAUUUAAAACAUUGUUGAUCUAAUCUAAUUUUUACCCUUCUUCUGUUACAGAAUGGCGAUGAAACAUCUUUUUCUUACAGUUGACUGAAUGUGCUUUGAGCCCUUGAUAGUAACUGAGUAAUCAAGUAUUAACAGUACAAUAUUUUUAUUGUAGCGUUUAAAACAAGAUCAGCUGCAUAACACUUUCUAUGCUCUUAUUGAUACGAAGGGACUGCGGAAGAAGGUAUUGUUGUUAAUUGGAGGUGGAUGCAUUCGGCUAAGAUUUGCAUCGAAAGUGGAUGCCAUUAAAGGGACUCUAGCAGAAGAUAAAGAAAAGGUGCUGGCGUUGAUAAGAAAGCAUUGAGCUGCCUGUUGAAUUUAACCGCUAAGAACGCUGGUGUUUAUGGUAGUGUUGUCAUCGAAAAGGUACUCUCUAGCUGCAACCAGAAAAACUGCCACAACAAUGCAGCUGACACAUACAAAGAUCUAUUUUUAGCAGUAAUCAUUGAUCCAACCAAAGUGAGUAAAGAUCCUUAUUUUAUUGCAUAUUGAAAUAUCAUAUUUUUUAUGUUCUAAACGAAAGUUUUUGAAGGUUGUAAGAUGUUGCUUAGAGUAUGCUUCAGCCGUGGCUAAGACAUUUUUUUUAUGUCUGAUUGUGUUGUUGUUGAGAUGAAGGAGCCUGAAUCAGCAUUUCCCGCUGGUAAACCUAUGGACAAUUCAGGCUUCUCUGUAUUCUUUUCUAUCCAACCCUCAGAUACAUUUUCGAUGAAGGAUUCAGGUUCACUCAUAUCAGUUAUGGUGAUGUACCAGAAACACUGUCGAUGAACGAUCCGCUCACUGCUGUCAAUAAUGCCACACAAGCAUCUGAUCGUCUUCAUCAAGUGUUCACAAUGCAGUCACUCCAUCGGAAACAGCAAUCUGAUUUUUGUGCAACAACAAGUUCUUUGUAUAUCACUCGAGUUGGCUGUUUCUAUUGCAUAUUGAAAGACUAAGAAGUCAGGACACAGUUGUGUGUUCUUCUUGCUGUUGUAGUUCAAAUUCAGAAGGAAAAAAUUGGUUGGCAGAAGAGAAAGGAGUUCCUUUUGCACCAACAAAGAAUCGUCAAGAUUUAGGACUGGAUAAUUUAUGUAAAACGUAUUAAGGUGUCCAGCUUUAUUUUUUUUAAGAACAGGUUUAUAUAGCUUCGUUUUCUUCUGCUUCUGUCUUAUGGCUGGGUUUCACUGAUUACCCUUUUAGUAACAUUUUUCCAUGAUCCCGCAACUGUUUUGAGUAAAAUCUCUUUUGCUGGGUUAUAGGGUUCUCUGUUCCUCAAACUAUUAAAGUUUCUGACUCUAUGCUUCUCAUGAUCCCUUUGGCUGAGUCAUGCUUAUUUAUUUUUAAUACUUCUUAGGGCUUAUAGUCUAUAGAAAGUAUGUUCAUACGUACGUGUAAUCAUUUUGAUGCCUUCGAGAAUUGACAAACAGAGGCUUCAGUGAAAUCAGACGAGCUUCUUUUGUUGUUAAUCAGACGAGCUUCUUUUGUUGUUAAUAUGGAAAGUAUGUUGUUGUUGUUGUUUUUGUUGUUUCUAUUUCUUUCUUGUGUAAUAAGUUGCUUGCAACAAUGUGAAAAAUUGAAAAUGGUAUAAUAUUAAUAUUUUACCAAAAAAAAAAAAAAACCCUCAACUCUCCCUUAGACAUGAUCAUUUUACGGGAAUCCGACGCAACUAUGAGCUGACUAUAUGUUCAAAAAAAAAAGCUAUGAUCUGGCUACAAUUUAGUUUACAUAGAACGUUUUUUAAAAACUGUUAAUUACAUUAGGGGUGGACGUUCGGGUGUCCAUUCGGAUUUGGUUCGGAUCUAAUCGGGUUUUGGAUUUUCGAAUUUAAAGAUUUCAGUCCCAUUCGGGUAUUUCUAAAUUUCGGUUCGGGUUCAGUUUGGAUCUUUGCGGGUUUGGUUCGGGUUCGGAUAACCCAUUUAAAUUAUUUUUAAAAU